UGAUAUAGUAUUGAAUACAAUACACAUACCAAACAUAAACCUUAGAUUAUUACGAGUAAGCAGGGGGUGAAAAUGAGACACGAAAUCACAAUGGCCGUGUCUGUUAAACAGGCAGUUAUUUUACUGUAAGCGAGAGAAAUAGGCUAAAUGACAAAUCAAUUGAACAACUGCAAUGUGGCGACUUCGAGUUUUUAGUUUAUUGGUUUACUUUGUAGUUUUCAUACAUGUUUACAGCAAAGUCAUCGUUGAGGAAGGGGUAACCGAUAAUGGACCAUUUAACAUAACAAUUCAGCUUCCUACGAAUCGAUCUACUGUUGACUGGUUCAAAAACGAUGUUUACGUUUAUAUUUCUAUACUCUCUACGUCGGGAACGGGAUGUGUGGGUCCAGCCAAAAUAAAAGGAUUUAACUUCUACUGCGAAGAUAACGGCCUGACAUACAAGAUAGAAAUACUAAAUAAAUCGGCAAAUUAGGAGUUAGAUUCAGGGCGGACUACAGUUCUGGUGGAUCGGAGGCAUACUUGGUACCGUCUGCUCCUGAUCCACCAAUAUUUACUCCAGGUAAAACUUGUAGAUUGUGGAUUAGAAUCAUCAACAGUACUGGUUAAAGUCAGCUGAUUACCUUGUAUUAAUUUAUAAGGACUGGUUGAUGGUGCUAUAUGUACUAUUGGUGGAUCUGUAAUAGAUAACAGGUUAAAAUCAGUUGAAUGCCUUCUAUUAUUUUAUAAGGACUUGUUGGUGGUUCUAUAUGUACUGUUGGUCG